ACGGAAGGCAGCAGUGGGGAAUAUUGCGCAAUGGGCGAAAGCCUGACGCAGCGACGCCGCGUGUGGGAUGACGGCCUUCGGGUUGUAAACCACUGUCGGGAGGGACGAAUGCGCCGCAAGGCGAGUGACGGUACCUCCAAAGGAAGCACCGGCUAACUCCGUGCCAGCAGCCGCGGUAAUACGGAGGGUGCGAGCGUUGUCCGGAAUCACUGGGCGUAAAGGGCGCGUAGGCGGCCUGGUAAGUAGGGGGUGAAAUCCUGCGGCUUAACCGCAGGGCUGCCUUCUAAACUGUCAGGCUCGAGCACGGUAGAGGCAGAUGGAAUUCCCGGUGUAGCGGUGGAAUGCGUAGAGAUCGGGAAGAACAUCAGUGGCGAAGGCGGUCUGCUGGGCCGUUGCUGACGCUGAGGCGCGACAGCGUGGGGAGCAAACAGGAUUAGAUACCCUGGUA
rnacentral:rRNA from 1 species